rnacentral:rRNA from 1 species
AACGCGAAGAACCUUACCAGGGUUUGACAUGAUGUUGAACGCACGGGAAACCGUGUUCCCUUCGGGGCAAUGUCACAGGUGCUGCAUGGCUGUCGUCAGCUCGUGCCGUGAGGUGUGAGGUUCAGUCCUUCAACGAGCGCAACCCCUAUUGUCGGUUGAAUUUCUCCGGCAAAACUGCCGUCGGAAGGCGGAGGAAGGUGGGGAUGACGUCAAGUCAGCACGGCCCUUACAUCCUGGGCGACACACACGCUACAAUGGUCGAGACAACGAGUCGCAAACCCGCGAGGGGGAGCUAAUCUCAACAAACUCGAUCUCAGUUCGGAUUGGAGGCUGCAACCCGCCUCCAUGAAGCUGGAGUUGCUAGUAACCGUGAGUCAGCACAUCACGGUGAAUACGUUCCCGGGCCUUGUACACACCGGUACUA